rnacentral:rRNA from 1 species
AUACAGAGGGUGCGAGCGUUAAUCGGAAUUACUGGGCGUAAAGCGCGCGUAGGCGGCUUAUUAAGUCAGAUGUGAAAUCCCCGGGCUCAACCUGGGAACUGCAUCUGAUACUGGUAAGCUAGAGUUUUGGAGAGGGAAGUAGAAUUUCAGGUGUAGCGGUGAAAUGCAUAGAGAUCUGAAGGAAUACCAGUGGCAAAGGCGACUUCCUGGCCAAAAACUGACGCUGAGGUGCGAAAGCGUGGGUAGCAAACGGGAUUAGAAACCCCAGUAGUCC